CCGGUACCGGUCGCCGCGGUGCGGGACUGCCAUCGGAGAGAACUACCGGGCACAUCUGGGCGUUAAUAGCCUUGUUUUUUUUCUUUUUUUCUUUUUUAAUCAUCAUCAUUAUUAUUUUUUUCUUCCUUUAAGACUUCAAAAUCGUAACAUCAAACAGUUCCCUUCCUUUGUAAAAGAAAAAGCUGCAUCAGAGUGCCAGUAAUGUAAAGCCACUGGAUGGUGUGAAAAUUCUUGAUUUAACAAGAGUGCUUGCAGGGCCCUUUGCCACAAUGAAUUUAGGAGAUCUAGGGGCUGAAGUUAUCAAAGUGGAAAGACCAGGUAAGGUUCUCCU
rnacentral:lncRNA from 1 species